GCCUUCGUGGUGUAAUGGUCAGCACACUGAGCCGGUAUUUCAGAGGUCCGUGGUUCGAUUCCCGGCAAACGCC
rnacentral:tRNA from 1 species